CAAAUUUAGAAACACUAAAGAAAAAGCAAGAAAAAGAGUCUGUAGAAACAAAGAAAGAGACACAAGUGACAAAAGCUAAAGAACCAGCAAAAGAGAAGAAAGAUUCACUAGUAAAAAAACAUGAGGAGCCAGCAGAACUAAAGACAG